UCUGUAGGUGAAACCUGCGGAGGGAUCAUUACCGAGUUUACAACUCCCAAACCCAAUGUGAACGUUACCAAACUGUUGCCUCGGCGGGAUCUCUGCCCCGGGUGCGUCGCAGCCCCGGACCAAGGCGCCCGCCGGAGGACCAACCAAAACUCUUAUUGUAUACCCCCUCGCGGGUUUUUUUAUAAUCUGAGCCUUCUCGGCGCCUCUCGUAGGCGUUUCGAAAAUGAAUCAAAACUUUCAACAACGGAUCUCUUGGUUCUGGCAUCGAUGAAGAACGCAGCGAAAUGCGAUAAGUAAUGUGAAUUGCAGAAUUCAGUGAAUCAUCGAAUCUUUGAACGCACAUUGCGCCCGCCAGUAUUCUGGCGGGCAUGCCUGUCCGAGCGUCAUUUCAACCCUCGAACCCCUCCGGGGGGUCGGCGUUGGGGAUCGGCCCUGCCUUGGCGGUGGCCGUCUCCGAAAUACAGUGGCGGUCUCGCCGCAGCCUCUCCUGCGCAGUAGUUUGCACACUCGCAUCGGGAGCGCGGCGCGUCCACAGCCGUUAAACACCCAACUUCUGAAAUGUUGACCUCGGAUCA
rnacentral:rRNA from 1 species